rnacentral:misc_RNA from 1 species
AUAAUUUGAUAAACAAGGGAAAUAAUAAUAAUAAUAUAUUCCUCAUUUGACAAUAAUUACCUCUACAUACAUUUAUGCAAAUUAAUUAUUGAGCUCAUUCAUCUAGAGUUUUCGUAAAAUCAAUUGAGCACCAUGUUCAGGCUGAAUAGUUAUAAUUGAGUGAGGAGCAUGAGAGUAGGAUGGAGAAAGCUGAAAAGAGAAGUGUUGUAAAAUUAUAGCCACAGCCAUUUUUGCUUCCAGGAGAGCAAAGUUUUGUCCAAUGCAAAUCCUAUGACCCCAUCCGAAAGGGAAGAAUGAAACUUGGUUCUUUGUUGCUUUUGAAACUCCUUCACAAAAUCUUUCUGGUUUGAAUUCUGCUGCAUCUUUCCCCCAUAGUUCAGGGUCUUGUUGUACAAGGAUUAUUGGCAAGGCAAUUUGCACCCCAGCAGGUAGUAUCAAAUCUCCAAGCCUUGUUUCUUCACUAACAGUUCGAGUAAAUGCAAUUCCUACUGGGUAGAGCCUAAGAACCUCAUACAAAAUCAUAGUCACCUGUAACAUCUAGCUUUAUAUAUUAAUCAAACACUAAAUUCUUUUUAACAAAGUUCUACAAUAAGCAUAGGGCAGCCAGCUAUAUACUUACAACUUUAAGGUGGUUCAACCCAUCAAAUUCUGGUUUUUUCCCACCAAAAACCUGCAAAACCUCUUCUCUGGCUUGUGCUUGCCAAUGGGGGUACUUACUCAGUAAGAUCAUGGUCCAAACAAGCAAUACUGAAGUGGUCUCUUGCCCAGCAAAGUAAAAUAGCUUGCACUCAUCAAUCACAUCUUGGAUACUCAGACGUUCUUUAGUUUCUCUUAAAUUAGAUUCAAUGAGUAAUCCUAAUAAAUCAUCAUUCGUAGCUUCACGUGCUUUCAUUGCAUUUUCACGUUUACUGAUCAUACUCUUAAGUGAAGCUUGUAUUUCUCUAUCAAUUUCUUUUAUCCUUUGAUUAGCUUUAGUUGGCAAAAACCUCCAACCAGGUAUAUAAACCGUUUGUGCAGCUUGCAUUAUGAGAAUGCUUAGCUCUUUGAGGAGUUGAAAAAUUCUUUUUCCUUGUUCGUGAUUGCUUCCAAAUGCUGCUCGAGAAAUACAAUCACGUGACAGGUUUUGAAGAUAAGACCACACAUCCAACUCGCAUGAUUCCUUUGUGGAGAUCAACUUCUCCCACUUUUCAAUCAUCUCAUUACAGCAUUGAUAAAACACAGGUAACAUAAGCUUUAACUUCUCUUGAUGGAAUGCCGGGUUGAUAAUCUUUCUAUGCUUAGCCCAUUUGUCACCUUCAUAGCUUACAAGUCCUGGUAUUAACACAUUGAACUGUGGAAGCAUCUUUACCUUCUGAAAUUCAUUUAUUUUUGUGAAUACUUCUUUUAUAUGCACAGGAUUUGUGAUGUUCACUCUGGGUAUUGGUCCAAUCCAAAUAAAGGAAUUCUUACCAUAAUUGUUGAGGAUUUGAAGGAGAAAGGGAGCAACUCGGAGAGCAAGAUGCUGUGAAAAAUCAAAGGGCUGAGAUCUUGCUUGCUUGGUCAUGGCCACACUCUCUUUCAAGUCUCCAUGGAAAAACCUAUAUGGAUUGCCUGCAAGUCCUUGUUGUCUUAGAAACCUUUCAAGCGUUUUCGGCUUAAACCAAACCCAGUUGAGUAUUCUCCAUCCCAAUGUUACUAUUAUCACCAAAAUAAUUGAUACUGCUACUGAACUGCUGCCUGAUGCUUCCAUACUUUCAUCAAUUUCACUAUUUGAGAGACUCAGAGAAAGGCAUGUCUGUCAUCCACGGCUUUAAA